UUUUAAGUCAAAUCUGCUCAAUGAAAUAUUUAAAUAGCUGCAGUAUAAAUAACUGUACAAAGGUAGCAUAAUAAUUAGUUUUUUAAUUAAAAACUUGUAUGAAAGAUUUAAUGAAAUAUAAACUGUAUCUAAAUUAUUAAAUAAACUUUUUUUUUAAAUUAAAAAAUUUAAAUAAAUAUAAAAGACGAUAAGACCCUAAAGAAUUUUUAUAAAUUUAAUUAAUUUAAUUAACUAAAUUUAUUUUAAUUGGGGAAAUUUUAAAAUUUAAUUAAUUUUUAAUUAAAUUUAAACAAUUAUUUUUGAUUUAAAAUAAUUUUUUAAAAAAAAAAAAUAAAUUACCUUAGGGAUAACAGCAUAAUUUUUUUUAAAAGAUCAAAUUUAUAAAAAAGAUUAU
rnacentral:rRNA from 1 species